AUCAGCGUCGUAGUAGCGCAACCAACGGCGAGUGAGCGGCACAGCUCAAAUUUGAAAGCUAGCCUUCGGGUUCGCAUUCUAUUUUGUAGAGGAUGAUUUGGGGAAGCCGCCUGUCUAAGUUCCUUGGAACAGGACGUCAUAGAGGGUGAGAAUCCCGUAUGUGACAGGAAAUGGCACCCUAUGUAAAUCUCCUUCGACGAGUCGAGUUGUUUGGGAAUGCAGCUCUAAAUGGGAGGUAAAUUUCUUCUAAAGCUAAAUAUUGGCGAGAGACCGAUAGCGCACAAGUAGAGUGAUCGAAAGAUGAAAAGCACUUUGGAAAGAGAGUUAAAAAGCACGUGAAAUUGUUGAAAGGGAAGCGCUUGCAAUCAGACUUGUUUAAACUGUUCGGCCGGUCUUCUGACCGGUUUACUCAGUUUGGACAGGCCAGCAUCAGUUUCGGCGGCCGGAUAAAGGCUCUGGGAAUGUGGCCUCCACUUCGGUGGAGGUGUUAUAGCCCAGGGUGUAAUACGGCCAGCCGGGACUGAGGUCCGCGCUUCGGCUAGGAUGCUGGCGUAAUGGUUGUAAGCGACCCGUCUUGAAACACGGACCAAAACUUACUUUCCAACU
rnacentral:rRNA from 1 species